ACUUUUCUAUUUGAAUCUUAUUUCAAGAUUUUUUCUUUUAGUGUCGUUUUUGUUCUAUUUUCCUUUCUUUCAGUUAAAAAGAACUCCAAAGUCUACUUUUUUGUAGAUCACGGUAAGAGAAAGAGAAAUUUCUAAUAUUUUUUCUAUUUACUUUUUCAAUAUUUUUAUCUAUCUAUCUAUCUAUCUAUCCGAGUAAUUAAUAUUAAUUGAAUUAAAAUAUUUUAAUUAAUAUUAAAUAAAAUAAUAGAAAUAAUAAGAGAAGAGACUGUAAGUGAAAAGUCUCUUUCUCCCAGUCAUUAAUUACCGGAAAUAUACCGGAAGCACCGAUAGAAAAAGAAAAUAUUUGAUACGU
rnacentral:lncRNA from 1 species